rnacentral:lncRNA from 1 species
ACAAUCAACUCUAUUUUACAAAAUACAAAAAAAAUACAAACAUUAUAAUUGAUUUAUACAAUUGGAAUCAAUAAACAAAAAAUCCAAAAAAAAAUACAAAAUUGGAGUCGAUCAACCUUAAUCGACUUUCAGAGCAUAGUCGAUUAGCUUAAUCGACUAUUGAGUAUGUACAUAGUCGAUUAAACUUUCAGUCUGUGCGAAUUUCUCUACACCACCAGCCCAGGCAAAAACCACCAAAACAAAACCACACAUCAAAAAAUUUGCAGCGAAAUUAUAUUAAAAAUCUAUAAUCUGCCCUCCGUUGGCCAAUAAUCAUUGCCUGAAAAUUUCGAAUCAAACCCAAAUUAUUUGUACCAUCACCACACCAUAUCAACUCCUCUAAAACACUAUACUCCACCCUUGCAUCAACGCGUUGUACCUUACCCUCCCUAAAUUGUACAUUGCACUCAUACCUGGGUAUUAUUCUUCACUCCCCAUAAAUAUUCACGAUCUUUUGUCUUUUCCAAUUUUCAUUUGUAGCAAACAACUUCUGCAAAAAAAUUGAUGAAACAACCAGCCCCAAGGAGCGGCUACUCCGCCUCAGGCGGCGGCAUAUCCCGUAAUCCGCCGUACCACCAUCUCCAGAUCUCCUCCAGCAACAGAGCAUGAAGGCCGACAAGGAUUAUCACAGAAUAUCCACCUAAGCCUUGUAUUAAGAGUAUUAUGAAGGCCGACGAGGAAGUGCGCAUCAUAUCGGUGGAGACGGCGGGGCAGCGGAGUGGAGAGAAUAUGGUGAGAUUUGGAUGGAGGAAAAUAAAUGACGAGCGAAAGGGUAGGUUAGGAAUUAUUAAAGAUUCAUUUUGCUAGAAAUAUACCAAGGGGGUUUUCUCUAAUUACUUUUAGGAGAAGGUGUUUUCUUAACUACAUUUCCUAGAUGAGGGGGUUAUUGCUAAUUAUAUAUAUAUAUAUGAAAAGGAAGCG